CCUACGGGUGGCAGCAGUGAGGAAUAUUGGUCAAUGGACGAGAGUCUGAACCAGCCAAGUAGCGUGAAGGAUGACUGCCCUAUGGGUUGUAAACUUCUUUUAUAUGGGAAUAAAAUGUUCCACGUGUGGGUUUUUGUAUGUACCAUAUGAAUAAGGAUCGGCUAACGACGUGCCAGCAGCCGCGGUAAUACGGAGGAUCCGAGCGUUAUCCGGAUUUAUUGGGUUUAAAGGGAGCGUAGGUGGAUUGUUAAGUCAGUUGUGAAAGUUUGCGGCUCAACCGUAGAAUUGCAGUUGAAACUGGCAGUCUUGAGUACAGUAGAGGUGGGCGGAAUUCGUGGUGUAGCGGUGAAAUGCUUAGAUAUCACGAAGAACUCCGAUUGCGAAGGCAGCUCACUGGACUGCAACUGACACUGAGGCUCGAAAGUGUGGGUAUCAAACAGGAUUAGAUACCCUAGUAGUC
rnacentral:rRNA from 1 species